CCUACGGGAGGCAGCAGUGAGGAAUAUUGGUCAAUGGGCGCGAGCCUGAACCAGCCAAGCCGCGUGAGGGAAGACUGCCCUAUGGGUUGUAAACCGCUUUUAUUCGGGAAGAAUAAGCCUUACGAGUAUGUGUAUGCCUGUACCGUAUGAAUAAGCAUCGGCUAACUCCGUGCCAGCAGCCGCGGUAAUACGGAGGAUGCGAGCGUUAUCCGGAUUUAUUGGGUUUAAAGGGUUCGUAGGCGGCCGGUUAAGUUAGUGGUUAAAUGUCGGGGCUAAACCCCGGAUUGCCAUUUAAACUGGCGGGCUAGAGUGCAGAAGAGGUAGGCGGAAUAAGUCGAGUAGCGGUGAAAUGCUUAGAUAUGACUUAGAACUCCGAUGGCGAAGGCAGCUUACCAGGCUGAGACUGACGUUGAGGCACGAGAGCGUGGGUAGCGAACAGGAUUAGAUACCCUUGUAGUC
rnacentral:rRNA from 1 species